rnacentral:rRNA from 1 species
GUACACGCUGUGACUAGCAUAUCAAUAAGCGGAGGAAAAGAAACUAACAAGGAUUCCCCUAGUAACGGCGAGUGAAGCGGGAAGAGCUCGAAUUUGAAAUCUUAAAGGGUUUCCCUUUACGAAUUGUAGUUUAAAGAAGUGUUUUCUGUUGAGGUUUUGGUAAAAGUUCUUUGGAAUAGGACAUCAUAGAGGGUGAGAAUCCCGUAUUUGACCUUUACUUUCAACUUUGUGAUACACUUUCAAAGAGUCGGAUUGUUUGGGAAUGCAGUCCAAAAUGGGUGGUAAAUUUCAUCUAAAGCUAAAUAUUGGCGAGAGACCGAUAGCGAACAAGUACCGUGAGGGAAAGAUGAAAGGAACUUUGAAAAGAGAGUUAAACAGUACGUGAAAUUGUCAAAAGGGAAGCGUUUGACACCAGUGUUGUUUUUCUGAAAAUCAAUUAAAGAACUGUUUAUGCUAAGCUGUUUAGACUUUAUCAGCUAUCUGUUUAGUUUUAGGCUUUUCUUUAAUGCACUUUUCAGUUAACAAGUCAACAUCAAUUUCUUUUACUGUAAAAAAGCUUGAGGAAGGUGGCUUGAGAUUCGUCUUAAGUGUUUAUAGCCUCUUGCCUAUGCAGUCGGAGAGAUUGAGGUCUGCAGCGUAGAUCCUUCGGGGCUAAAUGCAUUUGUGCUAAGUUAUAGCAUUUUAUAGACAACUUGUUGACUAUGAUUUGUCUUGUAGCUUACUCGCUUAUGUUAUUUUACCUACGCUUAGGAUGUUGAGUCGUAGAGCACGCAG